rnacentral:rRNA from 1 species
CUGAACCAGCCAAGUAGCGUGAAGGAUGUCUGCCCUAUGGGUUGUAAACUUCUUUUAUACGGGAAUAAAGUGAGGCACGUGUGCCUUUUUGUAUGUACCGUAUGAAUAAGGAUCGGCUAACUCCGUGCCAGCAGCCGCGGUAAUACGGAGGAUCCGAGCGUUAUCCGGAUUUAUUGGGUUUAAAGGGAGCGUAGGCGGACGCUUAAGUCAGUUGUGAAAGUUUGCGG